CGGGGGGGGAGAGCAGGGAGGAGAGGGGAGGGAGGGGGUGGCCGGGGUGGCGGGGGCGGGCGAGGCGGAGGGAGCGGGCUGGGGCCCCGAGAGAGCGCCUCAGGGGUCACCGGCCUCCACUGGUCCUCGCACACAUCCUCCAGGAAAUUCGAGAAAACGUUCUUCUCCGGGAGCCUUAGCACCAAUGUCCAAAUGGGGAGGGAAAGUAGAGACGGCAGAAAACCCGGAGCCCGCGGAGAGAAGUAGGCAGCAAAGGGGACAGGGAAAGUGUUGGUGAAGGGAGGCAAGAAGACUGAGGCCGCCAGGAGAGGUGGCCAGUGCUAACACAGGGGCUCUCAGACCCAGCAGUGCCCGCCCCCCUAGCCCCCACCGGGGGCCAGGCCCUGGCCCUGCUGCCUUCUGCGGACUUCAAGGCUGGAGGCAACCUGACGCUGGACCCAGGACCCACAGUGUUGAGAAAAGCUUUGAUGGAGCCGGCGGGUGGAUCUCCACUCCAGAUUUUCCAGCUGUCCCUGCCCCCCCACCGCUCGGGAGCAGGAUGCCGAGAUGGCUGGUGAUGCAGAAGGGGAAUCACUGGCACACAGGGACCGAGGUGCCAGGCCACGGGUUCUGGGACCACGGUGGUUGGUUCCCUCUUUCUCCUCUGAGAACACAAAAAGGCAGACUGACCCACAUGCAUGCCCAUGAGGAAAUGUCCAGCUGUCCUCUAAGAUAUUGAUGUCAGCAGCGAUGCUGGAAACCGAGUCUUGAAGAUGAAAUGGUCACAAAAAUGGAAGGAAAUGGGGCCUCUGGGUCAUCUGUGUCACUGCUUGAAGGAGAGCUGCCCGGUUGGGAACACUUACACGAGACUGGAAUGUGAGCAACAAGCCCACGUUCCAGUGGGAUUUGGGGUCUUCUGGGGCAGCAGCUAUUAUGACAUGGAUUAAUAUGGCCACUGAUCUUCUCAAACCUUGCCAGACUCUUCUGUUCUCUGAAGUGGCUCCAGGAAGUCACAGAGGUGGGGUCUGCGUGGGCAGAACCCAGGGCAUGCAGCUCCAGAAGGGUCUGGUUCAGGCUCUGCUCCAGAGACAGGGCGGCUUCCAUGGUGUCCACGGUUUCACCCCCCUCAUCCUAGGAUGGUUUGUGCGCAAGCGUGCGAAGAGGGCGUGGCCGCUGCACUGGUUUUGCAUCUUUAAGAGAUAUUCAGCACCCUCACACUUCUCCUCAGCCAACUCACAGAAGUGGCCAAGACCCUCCAGAGCCACACCCUCCUGGUGGAAAUAGAAGCCCAGAGAGAGGUGUUCUGAUCCGCAUCAUCCUCCACAGGGACUCGGUCAUUUAGGAUGCUGCUGGUCUCUGAGGAAGUGGAAGGAAGGUGCUGGAAAGUACAUCAACACGCCUGCUCAUAUUUCAUUGGCCCAAGCAAGUUACACGGCCGUGUCCAAAUUCAGGAGAGUGGAAAGUUCAAUCCCAUGAUGGCAGAUUCGGUAACUUUUGUAGGAAAUAACCUCCUCUCCUCUGCCCCAGGAGCAGAGGGGCUGACUGUGUGACUUGCUGUGGCUGAUGAGGGUGGGGGUCAGUGACGGCAUGCUGGCCCAAAGCAGAGGCUCUGGGAGGCACGUACCACUUUCCCUUUCUCCUUCGCACUCAGCUCAUCCCGCGGAAGGAGAGCAGGCCCCCGGGGGCCAUGGCUUCCUCGUUUGGACGCCUGGUGACCCUGACCCAUCACCUGGAGCCACACCCAACACAGCUGCAGCUGAGCCAGCACCAAAUCACAGCUCUGGGAGCAAGCAGUGUUUGUUGCGAUAAGCCACCAUGAUUUGGGGCUGUUUGUUACGAAGCUGGAGCUGACUGAUACACCCAUCCAGGACCCAGAGGGAAGAAGAAAAUGGCGUGUUGGUGAACAGCUGCCUCUCAACGAAGGAGCCCUCGUGAGUCCCGCGGGAGAUGGCACCAGCCAACCCUGUGGGCGGAAGGUGGUUAGGAACAGAGUGCUUGGAUGGGGCCUCAGUAUCACCCUACGGACUCCUUGCUCUUUGCCAAGGGUUAAGGGUACCUUUGAAACAGAGAGUGCUAAUGUCAAGUCGGCCCCACGGCUUGCGCCGCCCGCCCCCUGCUGAGUCAAUGUAAGUGUUAGCACUCUCUUUGCAACGGUUUGCCUAAAAUGUUCAUCGGUGUUUACGCAGGGCUUCAGUCCAGAGCACGUACAGGAGACUCGGGAGUCCCGCGAACACCAGCCCGAGAACCAGCACACGAGGAACGUGAUAACUUUAUAAGGCGAUUGUCCGAGACGCCUCAAAGUGUCAGUCCAUGGGGAUCAAACAGCCACCUGUGUGGGGGGCUGUUCUGGUUUCAAAGUGACAAAAGGUUACUGAUGUGCCGGAGACCCCCUCUCGUGAUGCUGGGCUGUGGGCAGGGGCCGUGGCUCCCAAGCAGCCGUGGGGUCACCAGGGUCAACAACCAACGCGCUGACCACCAUCCCGGCCCCGUGCAACCGUUCCGUUUUUCACUUUCAGCACAGCAUUCAGUAAGUUACAUGAGCUAUUCAACACUUUAUUAUGAAGCAGGCUUUGUGGUGGAUGAUUCUGCCCCACCGCAGGCUCCUGUAAGCAUUCUGAGCGCUUGUCAGGGAGGCACGGCUGAGCUGUGAUGUUCGGCAGGUUAGGUGCGGGAAAUGCAAUUUCAGCUGAUGAUGCUUUCAAUUUCCAGUGGGUUUUUCAGGAUGUAACACCACUGUAAGUCAAGGAAGAACUGCAUUUUACUAGGCCUCGUGCUGGUGGUUUUAAUUUUGUUAAAAAAGGGGGGGCGCCUGGGUGGCUCAGUCGUUAAGCGUCUGCCUUCGGCUCGGGUCAUGAUCCCAGGGUCCUGGGGUCGAGCCCCGCGUCGGGCUCCCUGCUCGGCGGGAAGCCUGCUUCUCCCUCUCCCUCUACGGUUCCCCCUGCUUGUGCUCUCUCGCUCUCUCUGUCAAAUAAAUAAAUAAAAUCUUAAAAAAAAAAAAAAGAGCUCUAUAACCCGGGAGGAGGUGUGGCCUGCCCUUGUCCUCACUCCCUCUCCACUCUGCUGUUAGAAUAAUCAUACGUCUGAUCUGAGGUCAAAAAGCAGAUGGAUGUGUCAGUCCUCCAUCAUCUGGCUGGGGUUGUCGUUGUGACCUAGUGUUCGCUAGGGCGGCUGCUUCUAACUCAGUCUUGUCCUACUGACUUUAUUUUUUAAUUUUUGAAGCUGAGCUGUGAUUGACGUAUGACAUUGUACUGGUUUCAGAUGUCCUGUGUGUCACAGAUGCUGAACGCUGGGUCCCAGGAAAAUGCCCAGCAAGGGCUGUGGCUGGAGUGCUGACGGGCUCUCCCCAUCUGCGUGCGUUAGGGUGAGGGUGUGUAACCCCCACGUGUGGGAUGGGACGCUGCUGGGACCCGGCGCCCUCACCCUCACCCCACAUUCUCCCGUUGCUUUCCGGACACGGCCAUUCCUGAGCGUACGUAGAAAGGAGGAGGAUGUGAACAGAUGACAUCUCGGCCGCUAAAAUAUCGACCCACACGCCGUGAAGGAUUUGAUUUCAGUUUUCUCUGUGGUGUAGACCCCACUUCUGGAAUCUGAAGGGGCAGGAAUUGGGGGAGGGACAAAGUGUCUUCCAGACAUUUUGCUUGUAGGUUUGGGUGGGGGACACUAGGGCUUCUGCCUGCUCUCAUCGAGGUGUUUCAGUCAGGCUCCCACACUCUGGGCUGACUGGUGGUGUAAGAGUUGUGUGUUUGUGUUUGUUUCUCGCCAAGUUUUACAUUUGUCUUUCUCUUCAUAAAUAAUUUACCGGAAAGUGGGGAACGGUUGUGUCAGGAACUCUGCAUAGUCGUCGUUGUUUUUUUUUAAUGAUACUUCGAGGCCCUUAGACCCUGGUACCAAGGGCACAGUGGAAGAGUCUGGAUUGUAGUGUUGGGGUCUUUUGUGAAUAAAUGGUGACCGAACGUUUUUGGCAGCUCAGACUCUUGUUCCCAAAGCCCUCAUUGGAGAAGGUGUCAUAGGCUGACCCUGAAGGCAUCCUUCCUGUGGAGGAAGGGCCACGGUCUUGGUCUCAGCCACCUGCUCAGACAUCAGGGAGAGACUGAAGGGAGAACUGCCUUGUCCUGUGACCGCCGAAGCCUCUGUCCUGUGGGCCGGUCACUGCACAGCCGUGUCCCAUGACUUAGCAAGGUCACUGCCGUCCUGGGAUGACAAACACCGUGGGGUCUGGAAAUUCUCUCUUCUUCACAGCUUCUGCGAUACAGUUUCCUUCCUUCUUCCCCAUGGGGGAAUCUCCAGCAGAUGUCCAUGUAUUUGGAGGUCUGUUUGGGGUAGGUGGGCAGAGCCCCGAGAGGAGCGGCGGCUCCAGUGACCUGAGUUUAAUUUAUAAGUCCAGUCAUUUUACUUCACGUCAUUUGUUUUUGUCAUUGAUCUUAUCACCCCUUGACACAUUUUUUUGUUUGUUUCUCACGUUAAAAGAUAAGUUUGCCUUUUCUGAAUUGCAUCACCAUUAUAAAUUAAUAAUGAAAAAAUAAAUUAAUAAUGAAAAAAUUAAUAUUCCUUGCGUUGAGGUAGCUCUUUGGGUGGAUGAAUGGGCAGUAGCAGCAGAACUCGCUGAGGGAGCUGUAAGCCGAGACUCCCUGGGUCCACCCGCGGCCAACCUCCCGCUCCUCUUCGAAGGAUUGAGGAGCACUCUCUUCUUGGACGUUGGCGGUCCGGUGGGUUCGCCCUCCUGCUCUGCGAGCCAUCGCGCCAGGCAUGUCGGGCAGAGUCUGCCCAGCCCACGCCACCAGGACCCCGGCACACGGUCUGCACAUACCUUCCCGAGGAGCCUCUGACCACCGGGAUGGUUUCUGAGCACAGGGAGAAAUGGCUCUGCAUGGGAUUUCCCCUUCGCUUUAAAGUAAAAGCCAGAGGCCGGACUGUAGCUUUUCAGUAGGGCCACCCAUCAUCCCCGUUUAUGGCUGUUGUCCCGGUGGUGUUAUUAAUGUCCCAGCUUUACUCGUAAGUGGGUCCAGUUUGGACGCUGCACUAUGUCCCUUCUUCCCCCACCCCUCCCCCGAUGUACUUCUCUGACCUCGUACCGCCCAUGCUCGCUCUCCUGUGGCCACCGUCAGCUCCCCACUGUCCCUUGAGCUCAUGGGUGUGCUCCUGCCCCCAGAGCCUUCCCGUGAGCGGUUUCUGUUUCUGGAACACUCUUCCAUGGGUGAUCUGCAUAAUCAAUUCCUUCAAGUCUUUGCUUGAAUUUGCCUUCUCAGUGAGACAUAGGUUGACCGUAGGCCUUGUUGUUUCUGUUCCCUGCUGUAGCAGAAGAGCCUAGAAUGCCUUGCACUAUAAGCACCAGUACACAUUUGUUGAGUGAAGGCGUGAAAGAAUGAAUGAAAACUUACGUUAUUUUCUAUUUACCCCGAAGACUUGCCAGGUGACUGGCUAGCUGUAAAGAUCCAAGUUGUUACUAGCUGACGAUGACUUACUAGUUUAUCCCUAAAGUGGGCAUCUUUUUCAUUUUUAUUUCCAAUAAAUUGGACCUUUUUACGGCAUAGGACUUGACCAUUUUGUCACAGACCAGUUUGAGGGAAACUUGGAAGAGAGGCAGGUCUUUAGAAUCCCUAGAAAUAAUCCCACAGAAGCAUCUCUCUAUUUUAUCUAAAAGACAGGCUAACCCAGCAGAAAUGGUUCUAAAAGUAAAAGAGUAUCAAUGUUGGCAUCAUGCUCUGUGGUUUAUGGAGCUCUCUCAAUCCCACUAUCUUAUUUAAUCCUUAUAAUAGCACUUUCUAUUAUCCCUAUUUAGUUUAUGAGGAAACAUAACCCAGAGAGAAUGAUGAUUUCCUGCAAGAUCUAUGGCUGGUUGUGUGGCCGAGUGUUUAAGUGGCAAAGUGACUUCCCACGCCUGGGUUAGUGCCACACUAUGUCUGAUGUCCCUUUCUAGAUUAUAUCAGGACACGCUUUCAUUAGUUGUGCCUUCUGGGGUCUCUGGGAGAGUAUACAGGAGACAGAGAAUGUCAUGACCCACAGCACGUGAGAGGAUGUUGUCCCAGUCCUAUUGUGCAGCUCGAUGGACACUAAGGGAGCAAGGCCAGGGACAUUUGCCACCCAGGUCCAAAUGGACACUUUAUGCAAGGCUUUCAUAAGAGACAGAGAAAGACUCUUUCUUAGGAUAUUUCACAGUCCCCUCCCAGUGUCCUCUUACAAUCCUGACAACUAUACCCAUUAGUAAUAAUAGUUACCCUGUACUAAGCACACUGUAUGUCAUGAACUAUUCUAAGUAUGGGUGUUAAUUCACUUACAUCUCAUAUCAACUCUUUGUAGCAGGCAUUAUGAUUAACCUAUUUCCACAAAAGGUCCUAAAAGCACAUUUGAGCCCAUCUCACAGCUAGAAAUUGGUAGAAAGGCGGUUUGAACUCAUAUGGCUCAAGAAAGUGCUCCAGAAAAGUGCUGUCCAAUAGAAAUAUAAGCCACAUGUGGUUUUAAAUCUUCUAGCAGUUACAUUAAAAAGUGCAAAGAAACAUCCGUGCAUACCCAGAGGGUAUUACGCUAAGUGAAAUAAGUCAGACGGAGAAAGACAAAUACCAUAUGAUUUCACUUAUAUGUAGAGCCUAAAAAACAAAAAACAAAAGUAGAAACAAACCCAUUAAUACAGAGGGCAAACUGGUGGCUGCCAGAGGAGAGGGGAGUGGGAAGAGGGACAAAAUGGGUGAAGGGGAGUGGGAGGUACAGGCUUCUAGUUCUGGAAUGACUAGGUCCCGGGGUGGAAGGGCACAGCGUAUGGAACACAGCUGGUGAUGCUGUAAUAGCCCCGUCUGGUGACAGAUGGCAGCUACAGUUACGGUGAGCACCACAUAAAGUACAGAGAUACGCACUCACGCUGUUGUACCCCUGAGACUAAUGUAACAUUGUGCAUCGGCUAUACUUCAAUAAUAAAUGUGAAAAGAAACAGAUGAAGUCAAUUUUUUUUUAAUUUUUUUAUUCUUAUGUUAAUCCCCAUACAUUACAUCAUUAGUUCUAGAUGAAGUGUUCCAUGAUUCAUUGUUUGUGCAUAACACCCAGUGCUCCAUGCAGAAUGUGCCCUCCUCAAUACCCACCACCAGGCUAACCCGUCCUCCCACCCCCCUCCCCUCUAGAACCCUCAGUUUGUUUUUCAGAGUCCAAGAUGAAGUCAAUUUUAAUAAUGUGUUUGAUUUAACCCAAUGUAUCAAAAACUUAAUACUUCAACAUGUAACCAUAUAAAAAUUAUUAAUGUGAUAGUUCACAGUUUGGCACUAAGUCUUCUAAGUGUGGUAUGCAUUUUACUCUUAGAGCACGUCUCAACUUGGAGUCUAAAUUUUCAUCAGAAAUACUUAAACUAUAUUUAGAUUUCAUUAAAUGUAUAAUUGAAAAAAUAGAUUUCCAUAUUCAAGUUAUUUCAGUCAUGCCUAAAGUUUUUCAGUAACUGAAUCAAGUAUGAGUUUUUAAAUUAAAAUUAAAUACAGUGUAAAAUUCAGUCCCCCUGUGGUACAUUCUGAGUGCCCUAGAGCCCUCUGUGGCCAGUGACCACUGUGCAGGGGGCUCUGAUGCCCAUGUCCAUGCCCGAGACGCCAGACUGCUCUAGUUUCUGGGAGAGGCCCCACUGCCAUUUUGGCUCAGCCCCAACUGCCCCAUCCCUGCGUGGUUCUUUUGAUCUUCUUCUGAGCUUUUCAGAUCUUCGGACGUUCAGCCCAUAAUUCCCAUCUUCAUCUUCAGCAUCAACAUCAAAUGUCCUGAAUUACACAGAUCCCACAUCAUGCUUGGAGAAAGGUGAACGACAUCAUGAAACUAAUAAAAAACUAUGCCGGUUUUCCUUACUAGCUCUGCUUAACGUACAAGAGAGUUCAGGAUAAGUUAGGACUAUCUCUCAGCCAUCCGGGAUAGAAAUAAUAGCCAGAUUAGAUCAGAGCCUUUGCUUAGUGAGGCUACAAAAUCGCUCCUUUGAUUAUGACCCAAAGCCCUGCGCAUUCCCCUUGAGUCGCUGUGGGUGAAUUUGGGAGAAGGAGAGGGCUGGUAAGAAACUGAAGAGAGGAAGCUCCGCCUAGAAUCCCCUUUCGUGUUUCCGACCGGGCGUUCAGGGAGGGAGUCCUUGUCCCCUCUGCAGCCAACAGGGCAGAAGAUGGGAGAUCUGUCCAGCACUUGAAGUAUGGCUGGCGUAAAACCAAGGAAGUCGAUUUACUUUUGUUUGAUUUUACUCAAUUUUAAAUUUACCCAGCCACACGUGGUGGGGGCAUCCAUGCUGGAGAGCACACAGGCUCUGCGAGGCGAGGGACCGUGGCCCCCCUC